UACGUAGGGGGCAAGCGUUGUCCGGAUUUAUUGGGCGUAAAGAGCGUGUAGGCGGUUUGGUAGGUCCGUUGUGAAAACUCGAGGCUCAACCUCGAGACGUCGAUGGAAACCAUCUGGCUAGAGUCCGGAAGAGGAGAGUGGAAUUCCUGGUGUAGCGGUGAAAUGCGCAGAUAUCAGGAAGAACACCCGUGGCGAAGGCGGCUCUCUGGUACGUGACUGACGCUGAGACGCGAAAGCGUGGGGAGCAAACAGG
rnacentral:rRNA from 1 species